rnacentral:rRNA from 1 species
AUUGAACGCCGGCGGCAUGCCUUACACAUGCAAGUCGAACGGCAGCGGACCUUCGGGUGCCGGCGAGUGGCGAACGGGUGAGUAAUAUAUCGGAACGUACCUUUCAGUGGGGGAUAACGUAGCGAAAGUUACGCUAAUACUGCAUAUUCUGUGAGCAGGAAAGCAGGGGAUCGCAAGACCUUGCGCUGAUUGAGCGGCCGAUAUCAGAUUAGCUAGUUGGUGAGGUAAAGGCUCACCAAGGCGACGAUCUGUAGCGGGUCUGAGAGGAUGAUCCGCCACACUGGAACUGAGACACGGUCCAGACUCCUACGGGAGGCAGCAGUGGGGAAUUUUGGACAAUGGGCGCAAGCCUGAUCCAGCCAUGCCGCGUGAGUGAAGAAGGCC